CACAUGCAAGUCGAACGGAGGCCCGGAGCUUGCUCCGGAUCCCUUAGUGGCGAACGGGUGAGUAUCGCGUGGGAAUCUACCUAAAAAUGGGGAAUAACUGUUGGAAACGACAGCUAAUACCGCAUAAUCCCUUCGGGGCAAAGGCUUCGGCCGUUUUUAGAUGAGCCCGCGUUAGAUUAGGCUGUUGGUGAGGUAAUGGCUCACCAAACCUACAAUCUAUAGCUGGUCUGAGAGGAUGAUCAGCCACACUGGGACUGAGACACGGCCCAGACUCCUACGGGAGGCAGCAGUGGGGAAUAUUGGACAAUGGGGGAAACCCUGAUCCAGCAAUGCCGCGUGAGUGAUGAAGGCCCUAGGGUUGUAAAGCUCUUUCAGAAGUGAAGAUGAUGACGGUAACUUCAGAAGAAGCUCCGGCUAACUCCGUGCCAGCAGCCGCGGUAAUACGGAGGGAGCUAGCGUUGUUCGGAAUUACUGGGCGUAAAGGGCGUGUAGGCUGUUUGAUUAGUCAGAGGUGAAAUCCCUAAGCUCAACUUAGGAACUGCCUUUGAUACUAUCAUACUAGAGAUCGAGAGAAGUUAGCGGAAUUCCAAGUGUAGAGGUGAAAUUCGUAGAUAUUUGGAAGAACACCUGUGGCGAAAGCGGCUAACUGGCUCGUUUCUGACGCUGAGACGCGAAAGCGUGGGUAGCAAACAGGAUUAGAUACCCUGGUAGUCCACGCCGUAAACGAUGAGUGCUAGCCGUUUGUGAUUAAUCACAAGUGGUGCAGUUAACACAUUAAGCACUCCGCCUGGG
rnacentral:rRNA from 1 species